rnacentral:rRNA from 1 species
GAUCGUUUACCGUGAAAAAAUUAGAGUGUUCAAAGCAGGCAGAUCCAAUUUUCUGCCACCGAAUACAUUAGCAUGGGAUAAUGGAAUAGGACCCUGUCCUCCUAUUUUCAGUUGGUUUUGGCAGCGCGAGGACUAGGGUAAUGAUUAAUAGGGAUAGUUGGGGGCAUUAAUAUUUAAUUGUCAGAGGUGAAAUUCUUGGAUUUAUGAAAGAUUAACUUCUGCGAAAGCAUCUGCCAAGGAUGUUUUCAUUAAUCAAGAACGAAAGUUAGGGGAUCGAAGACGAUCAGAUACCGUCGUAGUCUUAACCAUAAACGAUGCCGACCAGCGAUUAGGAGACGUUGAAUACAAAACACCGGCCAUCGGUUGCGGUCGUCCUUGGCGUCUCGGUUUCGGCCGAGGGCGCGGGGACGGUUAGCCCGUGC